UACGUAGGGUGCGAGCGUUGUCCGGAAUUAUUGGGCGUAAAGGGCUCAUAGGCGGUUUGUCGCGUCGGGAGUGAAAUCCACUGGCUUAACUGGUGGCUUGCUUUCGAUACGGGCAGACUGGAGGUAUGCAGGGGAGAACGGAAUUCCUGGUGUAGCGGUGAAAUGCGCAGAUAUCAGGAGGAACACCGGUGGCGAAGGCGGUCUCUGGGCAUGUCCUGACGCUGAGGAGCGAAAAGUGUGGGGAGCGAACAG
rnacentral:rRNA from 1 species